GUUAUCUGAACCUUCGGGGAACGAUAACGGCGUCGAGCGGCGGACGGGUGAGUAAUGCCUAGGAAAUUGCCCUGAUGUGGGGGAUAACCAUUGGAAACGAUGGCUAAUACCGCAUGAUGCCUACGGGCCAAAGAGGGGGACCUUCGGGCCUCUCGCGUCAGGAUAUGCCUAGGUGGGAUUAGCUAGUUGGUGAGGUAAGGGCUCACCAAGGCGACGAUCCCUAGCUGGUCUGAGAGGAUGAUCAGCCACACUGGAACUGAGACACGGUCCAGACUCCUACGGGAGGCAGCAGUGGGGAAUAUUGCACAAUGGGCGCAAGCCUGAUGCAGCCAUGCCGCGUGUGUGAAGAAGGCCUUCGGGUUGUAAAGCACUUUCAGUCGUGAGGAAGGUAGUGUAGUUAAUAGCUGCAUUAUUUGACGUUAGCGACAGAA
rnacentral:rRNA from 1 species